AUGAUCUUUCUUGUGCCAGUACGCACGGGUACGGCUAAUAUAUUGUCAGACGGAUAUGAUCUUGAGUUUUUGAUUGGUAAACUCGCAUUUUUAUUUCUUUUCUUCAAAAGGCCAACCUCCAGCACAAACAUUUAUAGUAAAAACCUUACAAAAAUUGAAAAUGCAUCCAAAUCCUUGAGGUGUCAAAGUCAUCAUUAUCCUAUAUUCAUUGGUGACGCCCUGUGGGAAAAGCUCGUUGUCGUCUCUGGGCCUCUGCCACAUCGGAGCAAACUUGUUAAAACUCAAGAGCUUGUUGAAGAAGCGGCCUAG
rnacentral:rRNA from 1 species